GAGUCUCCAGUUAGAACAGAAAGGGUAGUUCACUUAAAAUGUAAGGCGCCAAAUGAUGCGUGUAUUUAAAUCCUAGUCCACCCAUUUUUAUGGUACGAAAAUGUUGUUUUGUGAUAUAGUUUACUCACACUCACUCACACCAUCUUCAUUAUCAUAUCUCUCGCUUUUAUCAUAUCAUUUCAUAUCGGGGAAGCAUAACCAUACCAAACACACAGCAGCAGAAAAAUGCAAUGCUCAAGCUAUGGCUGUUCUAUUUCGAUUUGUGUCCCUCAUCGUUUCACCCAAAGCCCUCUUUCUUUUCACGCUUUUCAAAUUCGAAUUUCUUUUCUUGCGAACCGUUUCAAGAGUGCUCCAAAGAAUCAGAGGAUGAUGAUUCUCUGUGGUGUGGAAGACCCAAGUUCCAACCUCCGUUCUGAGAGGAAAAGAAAAGUUGUGGAACACGUUUGUCUGCUGAAAGCAAAGCAGGAUUUAUCUGAAGAGGAAGAGAACGACAUGCUCGAUUAUUUGUACACAACACAGUACCAAAUGGGUGGUAUUGUUGCAAUUUCAUUGGGGCGCGUUUCUGCUCCAAAUCCUGAGUACUAUACACAUGCUCUAUUUAUGCGGUUUCAGAAGAAGGAAAAUCUUGAAAAGUUUUACGGGAAUCCCUUUUACUUGAAGGUUCUCAAGGACCAUAUAAUGACUUACUGCCAUGUAUGCACCAACAUGGAUUGAUUAAUGUGGAUUACGAAUCAGAAGUGGAAGAUGAAAUGCUUUCUAUAUUUCGCAAAGGAGAGGAGUUUAACCAUGGGGUGGAGUUUGUGCUUCUGAUAUCAUUUAAUGAGGAUGCAUUGGGUAACCUAUCAGAACAUGCAUUGGCCUCUCUAACAUCGGUGAUGUUGGAAUCUCCAUCCUUGAUAGUCCAAUUUACUCAAGGUUUGAAUUUUAGUCCAAGCUCUAAGGCGUAUACUCAUGGAGUUGUGAUACGAUUUCGAUCAGUUGAGGCAUUUGAGAUAUUUAUAAACAGCAAAGAGUACAAAGAUGUAUGGCUGUCUAAGUUCCAGCCUAUUGUCCACAAAUCGUUGUCUCUUCAUUUCUCUGUGGAUCCAGUGGGAACUGAAAUUAUGUAGUGAGUGUGACUUAUGGUGUUUAACAAGAUAUGCGGCUUGAUUUCCUCUUCUUUCUAGAAACAAGGAUGGAGGUUAUUUCCUGCUUUUUUAUUUUCACUUACAUGUUCUUUUGCUAUGAGUUAUGAAUAUAGAAUAGGAGUCCACUGUCCACUUCUUUUUGCAACAUUCUGAAACUUAAUUGCCUCAGUAAAGUUUUUGUUGCUUAUUAUGUACAUGUAUCAUUGUAUAUGUUUCAAUAUGUGCCUGGACCUGCUAUUUGUAUGUUGCUUCAGUUAAAUGUUGCCAUGUUAAUGUCAAAAUUAUUCGCACAAGAUACUAGUUUUUUUUUUUUUUUUUUUUGUUAAAGUUGUAUAAUUGCAUAAAAUAAAUUUUAUGGGUAUACGUUAACUAAUAGAUAUCAAUUUGACCACUUGACAAGAGGAAUGAAAAUCCUAGUGGGGGGAGGGGUUGGACUGGGUGCUCUAGAGCUUAACAUAUAUUUAGGGAUGCAUUAUUUUUCUCCAGCAAUCCCCACUGAAUGUUCCUUUUAUUUUUCAAUCCAUCUAUAACAAUAUGCCACUAACUUCUUGGUCUUGCUUUUUUGCAUGCUCAUAUCAUUAACAAAGGUUGAGUCACCAUGCAUGUAUGUCCACUCUUUACCUUCAUUGUUUGCAUUUCCACCAGAGUAUCAUCUAUCUUGAAGCUGUUUAAAACAGAGUCUUACCAUUUGAAUUGAGUAUCAGUUGAACAAAGAUGUUAUGGUUUAUAAAACCUUGGGCUCUCUAAUUACAACAAGUAGCUUUUGUGGUAGGGUUCUGUUAAGGUUCUUAUCAAUUGGUAUUAAAGCUCUGAUUUUGGAGCUAUGGGUAUCAAGUUUUUGAAGAAGAUUCAAUAUUUGAUGGAAAAGAGGCCUAUUGGUGACUAUUCAAUGUGGAGUAGUAUUGUGACACUAAGGGAAUAGAUUAGCAGAUGACGAAAUCGAAGGCAGUGAAGGCUCUUGUGGUGAUGCUCUCAACUGGUAGCUAACAUAGAAAUUAUUCAGAUACCUAACUAGGGAUUUGCACAGGUCAUGGUGUAACCUUUCAAAUAUAAUUCACAUCUGACAACUUUCAAAAACAAACUUGAUUUGUUGGGCAAAUGUCUGCAGAUUUCAUCAUUUUUCCAUUGAAUCAAGUACAAUUUUUAUCUUUAGAAGACCAAGGAUGAUAAUUCUCCCAAACUGUAUCUAUAUUACAUCUUUAAGGCAAACUAAUAUUAUACACUAGAAGCCUGCAAAAACUUGUAUAACUUGAUAAGCAGCAUAUUGCUAGAUAGUUGAUCAGUUAUGAAGUGGGUUUGGACCCCCUGGAACAUCUCGUAGAGAAACUCCAUAAUUUGGGUGGACUUCCUGUGUGAUGGGUCCCUGUUGUGUCCUUGUAUAGAUAUGCCAUGAGUUUGAGAACUCCUGAAAAGAGCUGCUUUUUCCUGUUUGUUUGAUUUCUUUACUCAUCCACCUGCCGCCCUCACAGCAAUUUGAGAGUUGGCUAAUUAUCAGUAUAAUCAUUAAGAUCAGUAGUGAGAGCCUUGGAUAUUGAACUGCCAUCACUGCAGUCUUGUGAAUUGAGAGACUUAAAGUAACAACUAACACAGUAGUUAACAGAAGGGGCUGAGUUUAGUUUGUUCCCUUAUGCUGGAUGAUUUAUUGUCCUUUUAUAUGAAGUCAGUGAAGCUGUACAGAAAAUAAAGCCAAAACUAAAUUAGUUUUAAUGAAAUGGCCAAACUGCCCAUUGAUCAUAAAUGGAUUUUCUGUCAGACCACUGUCUGAACUAGUUGACAAAACAGAUUGAGGAUUAAGCAGUUGUGCUUGUUUUGGCACAGUUGUUGUAAGGAUGAAGAUAUUUUGAUUCAGUUCGUCUUGUUGGAAUUUCACUCUGAUGAUUCAUAUAGCUUUGAGAAUAGCUGGGAGGAUACAAUUAGAUACUGCUGCAUUAAACUUCAGCCUCUGAUGAACCCUGAGCUUUUAGAUAAUUUUGUCCAAGGAAACAAGAGUUCUCGUCCUUUCAGCUCUGGUGGAGUGUCAACUUAAAAUACUGCUUAGAAGAGGAUGAGGCCGUUGACUUUUCUAUCAAUUGGGUCUUUUAUGACUCUCACUUAGAGGUUUGAUAAUAUAAUUUUGUGAUAAUAAUUGCAAAGACUUGUGUGUGCUUACAGUGUCCCUGGAUCUGAGUGUCAAGUAGUGCUGGUGCCUAUUUUCUGAUUCAGGUGUUGUCUUUCCUUUCCUCAUUUGCCCUGGCCUCUAAUCUAUUAUUAAAGAUAAUCAGACACGGUAUUGAAAUAUUGCCAAUUUGUGGCGCCUUUGAUUGGUUUCUUUAGCUAUCUCAUUCGGUCAAUGCCAAAAUUAUCGUGUAGUAUAGAUGCCAAAUUAGUUUGUUGAAUUAUGAAUUGUUGAAUGAAGAAUGGGGUCCCAGAUAAGGAAUCGAAGAGAAGGGAUUUUUAAAUUCAUUAUCUCAAAUUUUUUUAUCCACAUCUGGUGUUGCCAGUGGCCAUUCUUGAGAGCACCAUGUACUUGUAAAGUUUAUGAUCAUCGUGUCGUUAAAUGGGCAGUGUCAUAUGUUAAUGCUAGCAACAUUAUAACUGUUUUGCACAUAAGAUUGUAGUUGGAACCACAUGAAUGGGGGCCCGGUUUGGCACCUGUCUAAUUGACUGGACUUAUUGGGGCUGAAGUUUCAAUUGGCAUUAAAUAAUAAAAUAAAUAAAUAAAUAAAAUAAGGGUCAUUCUCAACCAUCUAUUUCUUUGACGAGUGUAGAAGCCUGCACCGACUACUUAGAAUCAACCCUAACUGUGGUUACCCACGAGUAUAGAAUAUGUUCAAAUGGUCAUGGUGCUAUGUCUUGUAAGUUUAAGCACGUAUCCUUUUUUCAAUUAUUCUAUUUUUUUUAACUUGGUAGGGGAUGGACUACUUUUUUCCGAUUUAGUUAGACGAUUAAGGUACUAACCCUUAACAUUGUUAUUUCUAUACAAUUAAAGGACUGAACCCAAAACUACAUACAAGUGAUAAUAUUAUUACGUUUAAUCUCUUAUCUGAAAUUGAUUGGUAGCAGUUUUGAAAAACAUUAAAAAAAAUCCAAAGAAAACAAAUUGUUAGGUGCUUCUCUCCUAUUUUAUACCCUUAAAUAUGUACUAAUACUUGAGUUUUUUUUUUUUUUGAACUACAUUUUUAAUGCCAUAGUUAAAUAAUGCACGUUUUAUGGGACAGAACAAGAGAUUCGUCCCAAAAAUUUUCUCCUUUUUCAAACUUCAAUUGAUAGAUACAAGUGAAGAGCUCAUUUUCUUGGUUAAGUGAAAUGCUGGUAGCCACUUACGUCAGAUUCGUGUUAAAUAGUCAGUUUGAUUAUUUUGUCUAGAUUGCGUGGUUUGAACGACUUAAAUGCUCAAGAGACCAUUUUAUUUUUGUUAAUUAGUUAGUCUUUCCCUCGGUCACCAUGAUCACAUCCAAGGCUAUUUUAAUUCUUGCAGCCUUGCAUGUUGAGUUUCAUUGUGAUUAUACUGUUAUAUGUCACUUGUUGCAUCCUGUUGGGAUACCAAUUUGACUCCUGAUUAACACGGUGGACCCAAGAUCGGUUAAUAUGGCCGCGUCUGGUCAAGGUGUUUUCGUGUGAAACAAUAUGAUGGUACUAUGUUGCUGAUGUAGACAACAGAGUAUGAAACUCUUGUAAUAGUCCUUUUUAUAAGAUAAUAGUUGUAAAACGAAGAUAUUAUAUGAAAUAAGUCACGUUUAAAUAUAUGUCAUCUUAGGAUAAGUUAAAUAUAAAUCUUUUACAAGUAUUCUUUAAACCUAUAAAACUUUUCUACCUUUCAUUGAGACAAUCUAAAAUUUUGUUAACAAAAAAAAGUAUUAUUUUUUUUUGCAACAUUAGAACCUAGCUGCAGCUAGAACAAGGUAAAAAAAAAAGGUGUCUUAGUUUAUAUUAAAUGGUUAGCACAAUAUUAUCAAGAUUUUCAGAUUUGUGAGACAACUCUGCUCAUCCUCUUUGCCUACUAGCCACUUGCUAUUAUGCAUAUCAACCCUCCAUGUCAACUUACUGUCAUAACAAGAGCAGAAAAAAAAAAAAAAUUUGUAUCGUUUGGACAACUAGUUAACCUUUCGAGACAUGGCUUAUAACGUCUUCAGAUUUAGGUUCAAAUUGGAUAAACCACGUCAACUCAACAUUACAAAAUGUAGCUUCUAUAUUUUAGAUGCACAUUAGACACUUCUAACCAAUAAAAUAGGAGUUCAAAUUUUCAUUUCUUCAAUUUUUUUUGCCUAUUUCCUUAUCCAACUAUUAAAAUUAUUACAAUGAAAAUUAUCUUUUAAAACUCAAUACUUUCAGAAUUUUUAAUAGACAAGAUUUUAUCUGUUUCCUUUAAGAAAUGGAGAGCACGCUCAAAAUCCUUUAAAGCGAUAAUGUUUUAAGCGAGGUUCCUCCAAAAUGAAAUUGUUAUACGUAUUUAACGCUCUAAAAUGUCAAAAAGGAAUUUUAAUACAAGACAAUUCAUUCUUGUCCAUAAUUGUGCAUCAAAUAGCACUUUGAGAAAGGGCGUCCGAUUUCGAGUUCGGAGAAACCGUUAUUUACAGUUCUUAAUUUUGCCAAGAUGGCUCUAGUCUAGCCUAUAGUUAAAAAUUGUGAUUUUCAAAUAGGUCUUAAGAGUUGAGAUACCAUUUAAAAUUUGAAUAAACAUAAAUGUUUUCUUCUUUUAAACCAAGUCAAUCAUCAAUUGAUGACGAUUAUGGUAUGGUUCCUCGGUGUUACAAGAUAUUCACUACAAUUAAAUACAAGAUUUCAGUACUAACAAUUGAACAAUCAUGAUAUGAAGAAUCCCACAAUCUAUUGUCAUAAAUAAUCAAAAUUCAGCAUCUUGUCCAUGCAUGCUACUAUCUACGAAUUCUAAUGCCAGGAAUGUCUUUCAAACCCAUUUUUAUUGCAGUUUUUCGAAAGAGAGCAGGAGGCCUUUGUAAACCAAUUGAUUCAGAAAAUCGGUUUGCUAGCUCAGCUAUAGUGGUCUUCUCCCUCCCAAUUUCCCUGAUGGAGUUAUAAUAACCAAGCCAAGCAUGAUAUGCUGCUUCUUUGAUGUCAUUAUCAAUCUUAGCCAUUGAAUUCUCAAUCUACAAGUAUCAUGGACAACAACUGUACGUAACUAUGUAUAAUAUAUAAUAGAUAGCAAAAAGAUGAUGUGAAUUAUGAGGAUCAAAAUAUCUAUGUACAAUGGGUAUAACUCAAAAUAGUGUAGACAUUAGAACAAAAGAAAAAAAAGCACCUUAAGCUUCGUCUGUGGAUCUAUAUCUGGUAAGGGGAAUUUCUGUAGAGGAAGAUCCUUGAUUUCCUCUAAAAAAUACUCUUCCCAUGGAGCAAUCAACAAUAUGCCUUCCCCUUCUUUGCCUUCCCGUCCCGUUCUUCCAAGACGAUGUAUGUAUUGUUCUCGGUCGAAAGGAAUUCCCACCUGGGUUUCAUACUAUAUGCUAUUAAUGAAAUAUGAAAUCCACACUAUGUCCUCUUGGAUGUCAUGUAAUUUCAAGAAAUAAUUCCCAGUCUCACAUAAGGAACUUUGUUUCAGUAGU